CUGCGCGAGUAUUUCCAGGGGAGCGCACCGUUGAGAAUGUUCCACCACAGCAGUAUCAGAGAUACGAAAUGACAGUCAUCAAGAAAGAUAGUUUAAGACUGAGGAUUGGAUUACAUUUUGUUUGAGUCAGUCAUGUCACCUCGACCCAACCAUUAUUAGUCACAAAAAGGCCCAUCAGCUCGUUUAUAUCAAUGUACUUGCUGUUAAAUGCGUAAGUAAACUUUCAAAGUACAAUAAACACUGUUUAUAUGUUGUAUGCAUUCAGUCUAUGGCAAUAUUUAUGCCCCACAUGAGCCUGUUUCCAUUUAUCUAACCCCAUUAGCAUAAUCUAUUCUUUACUGUUUCAGAAGUUGAAUAAUCUGUCUUAAAUGUAUCUGUGUUAUUUGCCUGUUGCAUGUGGUCGCAAGCUUCAUAUUCUAACCAAACUUGAUAAAAUAGAACAUCCUAUUGCAUCUCAAAAGCUUCUUUUUUUGCUUUAAACACUUGAAAAUAAGUAAGGCAAACCCAACUGCAACAGCCUCAGUUACAGCAGAGAACAUAACACUAUAUUCUUUAGAGAAAACAAAUUGAAAGCAAUGAAAUAGCUGGUUCUGGCCAAAUUGAAGGGAUUGCUGUAAAUUGUUAAUUUAAGACUGCUAAUGUUAUUGUUAUGGGAAUAUUUAUUUACCGUGCGAGAUGAAAAGGAAACAGCUUAAGAGUUUCAGUAUCAUGUGCUUUACCUUUAAUGAAGAAGAAUUAUUCUGUGAAAUUUCUCUAUCAAGUUGAUUAUUUUAGGUUGAAUGAUAUAAACCUCAAGUAUAUUGGAUCCUCUUCCUAGAAUGCUACUACUAUCUGGAACCAUUAAAGAAAAUGGAUCAUCAGGUGUGAUGUUUGAGAAAAUUUUAUAAGUUUCUGAAUGGUGAAGCUGUAAACAAGAUUCUGUGCUGGCUACCAGGACAUGUUCACUGAUGUGGGGAGAACUUCUAUUUGUGAAAAUGAGGAACUGUGCACUUAAUUCCAAAAUCUGCUUUAAGUCAUGUACAGUCCUUUCCAUUUUAUAGUUUCUCUCAUGCUCUUCCAUCAUGUCACCUCCAUAUACUUACAUCCAGCACAAUGUCCACUUCCUAUCCAUUCCUCAAUAUAUCAAUUUCAUUGGUCUUCAACAUUAGAAUGAAACAACAACUUAUUGUUAAUGUAAUAAGCAGUGUAACUGCUCCACUUGAUAUCUGCGAAUACCUUGAUAUCCUAACUUUAAUAAACAAGACCACAAUACCUAUA